rnacentral:misc_RNA from 1 species
ACUUGAUGCAGAAUAUGAAAAAAAUCCAUUUGAGGGGACAUCUGCAGUCCCAAAGAAGACUGUGAAGGUAUCAGAUACCCCUUCCUUGUCUAGCGGUGGGCUUGAUAGUCUUCCACGCGAAGAUAUUAGUGGAAAGAUAACUCCUGCUUUGCUCAAGGGAUUGGAAAGUUCUGACUGGAAGGCUCGCUUAGAAUCUAUUGAAACUGUAAAUAAGAUAUUGGAAGAAGCCAAUAAGCGCAUUCAGCCUACUGGAACUGGAGAGUUGUUUGGUGCUCUUAGGGGUCGUCUAUAUGACAGCAACAAGAAUUUAAUCAUGGCCACUUUGUCAACUUUUGGUGGUGUUGCUUCUGCUAUGGGACCGGCAGUUGAGAAGUCAAGCAAGGGGAUUCUGUUGGACAUAUUGAAAUGUCUUGGUGACAAUAAAAAGCACAUGAGAGAGUGCACUUUGAAUACAUUAGAUUCAUGGCUUGCUGCUGUUCAUCUUGACAAAAUGGUACCAUACAUUACUACUGCGCUAACUGAUGCCAAACUUGGUGCGGAAGGCCGCAAAGAUCUCUUUGAUUGGUUGUCCAAACAACUUACUGGAAUGAAAGAAUUUCCUGAUGCUGUACAUCUUCUAAAGCCCGUAGCCUCUGCUAUGACGGACAAAUCAGCUGAUGUUCGGAAAGCAGCAGAAGCAUGCUUUGGAGAACUUGUUAGAGUGUGCGGGCAGGAGACGGUGAGCAAGAACUUGAAAGAUAUUCAAGGACCUGCUUUAGCUAUUGUUGUUGAACGAUUGAGACCAUAUGGGGUACUUCAAGAAACCUCUGAUCUGGGAAGAACAACUUCCACUGGGACAACAUCGAAGGUGGGGUCAAAGAUAGGAAAAUCCACUGGUCCUGCUGAUCGUGCUUCUAGGCAUGGAAACAGAGCUGGUGCUUCGAGAGUUAUUCCUGCAAGGAGCUCAAGGCAAGAGACCCUAAUGUCUGUUCAGGACAUUAGUAUCCAGUCACAAGCUUUGAUAAAUGUCAAGGACUCAAACAAGGGUGACAGAGAGAGAAUAGUUGUGCGCAGAUUUAAGUUUGAAGAGCCACGAUUGGAACAGAUUCAAGAUCUUGAGACUGACCUGAUGAAGUACUUCAGAGAGGAUUUGCAUCGGAGGCUUCUCAGUACAGACUUCAAGAAACAAGUUGAUGGAAUAGAGAUGCUGCAAAAGGUGCUUCCAUCAAUUGGGAAGGAAUUAAUUGAAGUUCUUGAUAUAGUACUGAGAUGGUUUGUCCUGAGGUUCUGCG